rnacentral:rRNA from 1 species
UACGUAGGGGGCUAGCGUUGUCCGGAAUCAUUGGGCGUAAAGAGCGUGUAGGCGGCCCGGUAAGUCCGCUGUGAAAGUCGGGGGCUCAACCCUCGAAUGCCGGUGGAUACUGUCGGGCUAGAGUGCGGAAGAGGCGAGUGGAAUUCCUGGUGUAGCGGUGAAAUGCGCAGAUAUCAGGAAGAACACCGGUGGCGAAGGCGGCUCACUGGUCCGGUACUGACGCUGAGGUGCGAAAGCGUGGGGAGCAAACAGG